ensembl:lncRNA
CUUGGAUUUUACUUUGACUUCUUUAAGAAAUUGUCUAAUGGCUGAAUGGCUUGUCCUCCUUCCCUUCUUCCUCCUUCCCUUCUUCCUCCCUCCCUCCCUCCCUUCCUUCCUCCCUUCCUUCCUUCCCCACAAUGUGCCAAGCAGGGAUGCAGACACAGGAGUGAGCAAGGGAGACGUGCAAGUGCUCCUGGACUCUUGUCCUUCAGUGAAAACGGGCAGAGGUAGAGGAGUCCAGGGCACGGUUGGGGAAGAUCAGCAAACAGUGGCGGAAUGCGACCUGAUGCAGAGUCCCCCUACCCACAGUCAGGGACCAGCGAGGGCAGAGGGAAAGCAACCUGAAGCCUGGCAGAGAAGCUGGAGUACAGGGGCUGAGCAGAGACAAGAGAUAGAGUCUUUGGAAGCAACAGCAUUCAAAGGUGGAGAGAGUGGCCUGUUUGACCUCCUCCCCGGGAAAAUUGUGGCUUCUGUGGACGCUUGCUGAAGUAAUGACCACCGUCUGCGGAAUAGCCAGCGUUCUCAAGCUGCCUUCGGGACUUCCCGGAGAGCGUCUCCCUGGAUCUCCCCAGCACUCCAGAGGCGUCUGCCUCAUUUACAUCUGAAGAUGCUGUUGCUCGGGUGACACGUGGCAUGGGGACCCCCUUCCCUCCAGCACUGGAGCGAGUGCCCCUUUCAGCAUAUUCGCUUUAAGCUCUGCAUUAAAUUCUCAAUUUGAACUUGAUCCCAGUUGUUGGGAGCAGCCAGUUUAGCGACGAGAGCCUUUGUUUGCCUCCCAAGCACAAAGAGCUCCUGAAAGGCACGUGGAAAGAUGAACCCCUUUUCAGGACGUGUCUGUUAAGAGUACGACUUUAUAACUGUAGGCCCACACCCGGCGCAGGCUCAAAUGCGUCUUUCUUGGCGAGACAUAUUGGAGACAUAUGGACCGAGCAAUGGAAAGAUCUACGGUGAUCCUCAAGCAGCCAGGGUGGGGGAAGAAGAAGCUCCGGCGUGAGGAGGUGGCGAGGAGCAACAGCAAGCUGUUCGGAUGUGAUGAGAAAGAAAAGUCCUGAACUUCUUUCAGCACUCACCAGCUGUUCCAGAUGUUGGGAUUACACAUGGAGGACCACAUUUUGAGCUAAAAAUAUGUACCGGAGCUUGACUUCAAAUCUCUUCAGCAUCAUAAGUUAUCUUAUUUAUCACCUAGUUAUGUUCUGAAAGUGUUUUUAAGGGGUUUUUAAGGGUGGGGUAACUCGAUACUCAAUUUCUCAUGAAACCUAUUAUGAUUAAUAAUAAAUUUCACUCAUAGGAUUAUAAUUCUGUUAGAGCCUAGUCUUUGUUUUACUUAUAAUGAAAAACAAUAAAAUAUCCUAUUGUUUUUAAAUAUUUAUAAAAAAAGGAAAAUAAGUAAGUUGAGUAACAGGUACUUUCUUUUUUUUUUCGGUACCGGGUAUUGAACUCAGGACCUCGUGCUUGCCAGACAGGAGCGGCACCGCUGAGCUAAAUCCCCAGCCCAAUAACAAGUACUUUAAAGAACAGGGAUUCAAUCCUGCUGUGAAAUAGUCUACAGUCUAUCAUGAAGAAAUCAAAUAAUGGGAUUAAACUAAGUACAUCAGUCAGGUAAUAUGCAUAUCGUGGAGAGACUGCAACAUGAUCGAAAGCACAAAACAGGUCACCAAAAUGAGAAGCAGGCUAUCAAAUUAGUCCAGAUAUAUCUGACAAUGAACUGAAGAGGAUUUCCAAAAAUUAAAAUAAUGUCAUAGAGACAAAAGUUCAGUGGAUAAGAUGAAGUCUAGCUAGAGCUAAAAAGAGCCAGUGAGCAGAUUAAGAGAGAAUUAGUGAAUUGGAAGACUGAUCUAAGGAAAUUAAAAGAACACUGUACAGAAAGACCAGGAGAUGAAAAUAUGUGAAAGAGAAGUUUAGAGCUGUUAGAAGAUCUAGCACAAAAAGAGAUGCUAGGGCAUAAUGGAAUAAUAUUUUUAAAGUGCUGAGGAUAAAUGGUGGUUAAUGAAAAUUCUGUGCUCAUUAACCAGAUUUCAAGAGGCAGCUAAUGUAAAAACAUUUAGAGAUAAAGAAAAAUUGAAUUAGUUUCCCAGUAACAAAAUCCAUUUUUUUGAGCAGUACUGGGAUUUGCACCCGGGGCUUUCACACACCGAGCAAUAUAUAUCUCCAGCCCCUUUUAUUUGUUGUAUUGAGAGAAGGCCUUGAUAAAUUGCUCAGUUGCUGAGGCUGGGCUUCAACUGGCAGUUCUCCUGCCUCAGCCUCCCAGAGUGCUGGGAUUAUAGACAGGGCGAGAGUGUCAGGUUCAGGGUGGAGCACAGCCAGCUGCCCUCACCCUUUGCUGGGCACUGUUCUCCUCAACCUGUUCUCCUCACUGCCUUAGUUUUCCCCCAGUGCUAGGAAUUGAACCCAGGACCUUGCUCAUGUCAAGUGUUUGCUCCAGCUAAGCUGCUCCCCCAGCCACUGUGCUGUCUUUGUGUAACCAAAAUGGAAACAGCUUGACAUCAUACUAAAUGAAACUCUGUACUCCCAGGCGUGGUGGCCUACACAUGUAAUCCCAGCACUUAGGAGGCUGAGGUGGGAGGAUCGUCACAAGGUAGAGGUCAGCCUGGGCUACAGAGAGAAUUUAAGGGCAGCCUGAACUACAUAGUGAGACCCUGUCUCAAUGCCACCUUCCCCAUUAAACCAAUAGAAACAGGAUUUAUAACUUAUGAAGAAGUGAAGGAGAGGAGUAAAUAAAACAUGAAAAAAUUAAUAGGAAGCAGAAGGGAGGAAAAAGAUGUAGUAAAAGAAUUCACGGAAAGCAUAAAAUAAGUGGGUACAAUGAAUAAUUGUAUUACAUUUAUUACAUACUAUCCAGAGAUUAUCAGAAUAGAUAAACAAAUUUUUUUAUAGUAAAAAAGAAAAAUAAGCAGCAGCUGCAUGUUAUUUACAAGGGACAUAUUUAAAAAUGAUUGAAAAUUGAAGGGUAAAAAAAAAGAUGUAUUAGCUAAAAACUAACUCAAAGAAAGCUCGUCUGGUGGGUAUAGUGCUAUGCAUCUGCAAUCCCAGCCCCCAGGAAGCUGAGGUGGGAAAAGUGUAAGUUCAAGUGCAGCCUGGGCAACGUAAUGGUUUAGUGAGACCCUGUAUGAAGAUUAAAAAUAGAAUGAUCUGGGCAUGUAGCUCAGUGCGAAAGUCCUGGAUGUAAUCUCCAUUACUGAAAAAAAACUGCUCUAACUAUAUUAAUAGCAGUAACAUGGGUUCUGUGGAAAAAGCUAUUAUUAAGGCUAAAGAGGAUUUACUACAUUUUGAUAAAAGGAAUAAUCCAGGAAGAAUAUAUAAGAAUAUAACCGUUCUAACCUUGUGAUCACAUAAUAAUGGAGUUUAUAUUUAAACAUCCAAAAAUUGACAUAAUUACCAGGCAAAUCUGACAAACCCACCAUCGUCUCCUGGGUGAUUUCAGUACACCUCUGUUGGUAAUUGGUAGAUCAUGCAAAAUAAAAAUUGGUACAGGCUAUAGUGGAUUUAGGAACACAACUAAAAAGCUUGAUUUCAUUUGCCUGUGGAGAGACUGCUCCUAAGAGAAUAAAUGUGUAUUUGGGAGGAUGCUUCCACCCUUUCUUCAAGAAAUGAAGGAAGGCUAGAAAGAGAUAGAGUCAACAGACGGAAAGGAAGAACUCAGAAAGCGGCAGGAUUUGCCACUUCCUGAGUGUAUGUGUGGGGGAGCAGAAGAGGGGGUUGAUGAUGUCGAUGCCCAGCCAGCUGAGAACAACAAGGGGAGGGCGGGAUUCGAGGACUGUGCAUUCAGGUGGAAACUUGAGUUUCAAGGGCAUUUCAAGGAGGAGGCUGGGCUUCAGCUGCCUGGCCUUGUUCCUGGGGAGUAAUCUUCCAGCAUGUUGGGCCUUCCGGAUACACUUGUUCAAUGAUAACAGUGCUGAUCCAUCCAUGCCUAAUAGGCAUCUAUCUGCCUGUGGAAAUGCUAGCUGAUCAAGCUGGUAAUACUCGAGAGGCUUAUGUUGAAGCAGCUAAUUUUAUUAUCUAUGAAUUUAUCAUAGAUAAUAAUCAAUAAGAAUACUUUUAUUAUCUAUGGGUUAUUAUCGUCUAUGACUUUAAUAGGAAUUGAUUAGGGCACUUAGUAGAUAAGAGGUUUUCCUUUCAAGUGGAUUACAGAAAUAGCUAUUGCUUCUUCAAAGGUGACCUAUAUCAUGAGCCAGAUCAUCAUAAUAGCAGCUAUCAUUCAGAAGACUUGAGAGCUUAUCCAUUACUAUUGUGAUUUUUCGCAGCAAUGGGAUGAUUUAUAUUAUGCCUGUUGUGCAGAUGAGGAAAUCCGAAGGCCCAAUCACACAACACCUCCCUUCUCCUUCUGUGUGCCUUCCUGUAUGACAACCAGUGAAGGACAAAAACUACACUUCUUGGGAGGAUUCUGUCCUCUGGACUGAAGCCUGAAAUCUCCCAGACAAAUUGGUCACAAUUCUCAUCGAUUCCCACGAAUGCAGAAACUAUCAAAAUUCAGAAGCACUGCAUCUCUGGAGAGGAGGGAGUUGCAGCAGGAGAAGCCAUGAGAUCUCUCUUUCUUUUUUAUUGUUUUGUUUUUCGAGAUCUCUCUUUCAUGCUUCCACUCUUCCACUGGGCAUCUCCAUGCUUCACUGUAGAGACCAUGAGGCAGUUUGGCACCGCCUGAAACAUGGGAGGGACAAGUGUUGCUUUCAUUCAGAAGCCCUAAGUCACUGAGCUCUUCUGUGUUCACCAAGAGGAAAAUGCACCUAUGUUUUUUUGAUAUCUCUGACAUGAAAUACAAAUCGUACCAAUUCAGCUUCCAUAUAAUAGUCCUUACAUUUUCUCAUUAUACUUUUCAAAAAUCACAUGUAAUCUCUUUCUGUCUUCUUACCUUGACUAUGUGUUCCUUGAGCAUAAGGACCAUGUCUUUGCAUCUUCAAAAAACUCUCUGUAGCACCUGGCAUUGUGUCUAGCCUAAAAGUAAGUUCAUAAAAAUUUCAGUUUUUCAAAUUUUGUGAGUAAAUAUCAGCAGUGAAAUGUGUAGUACAUAAAAGUCCUUUCACUCAAAGAUGUCUGAAAACACAUGCAUAAAAAUGGGUGAAUGAAUGAAAGAAUGAACAAGCGAAAGGUCUGGGAUGUCAAAGAGGUGAUUGUGUUGGUGACCAAUGAAGAAACCAAUGUCGAUAGUUUUCAGAAACAGUUCCUAGUAGCCCAGCCAGGGGCUUGUCCUCUGGCUUUAACUUUUUCUUGUUAAGAUCUAAUCAUAGGAAUCUGUGGUUAGCAGUAAAGAAUCCCCUUCUAUUCACUCACAUUCAUUUCAAAAAUAUUUAUGGAUUGCCUGUUACGUGUCAGGCACAGUUCUUGGCGCUAGAAGUAAGAAAAAGAUAGAGAACAAACAUCCUUCUUCUCAUUGAGUUUAUGUUGAUGUCUUGUUACUUUCCUCAUUUCUGGGACAAAAUACAUGAAUGACACCCACAGCUUAAAAAAAUGAGAGGUUUAUUUCUCUCAUGUUUCAGAAUUUCAGUCCUAGCAUGGUCCGCUGGCUCCAGGCAGAAGCAGCAUGGGGGAAGGUCCGCUCAGGACAAGAUGGACAGGAAGGAGCUGGAGGUGGGACACAGCCUUCCGGUCACAUCCCCAGGGACCUGUGUUUCUGAUCUUGCCCCUACCUCCCAACAAGUCGGCUACCAACCCUCAUCACCCCAUCACCUUCCAAGCACAUGAGGCUUGGGGGGGCAUUUUAGAUCUAAACCGUAGCAGUAGAGGUUUAAUUUGAGACCAAAAAUUAAUAGUAAAUUCAGUAAGUGACAAAUGUUAGAAGUUACUUAUUCUAGAAAAAGUGGGGCAGGAUCAGGGCUCUGUGGGCUCUGGGAAGAGUGCUGUGCUUGAGUCUUUAACAGUGCACAAAGGACAGACCCUGGGGAGCAGGUGACACUGGGGUGCAUUAGCUGGGGAGGCCCUGGGAGAAGAGAUUUCCUGGAGCAGGGUGAGGGUGGAGGCUCUGCUGAUGCUGGAACAGUUGAGAAAGGGCGGGAAGUGACAGCCAGCCAGGGGAAAGGACCAGGCUGGGUGGAUCUUGUAGGGCCCUGUGGCUUUUUCUCCAGUGGAGAGGAAGCCAUUGGAGGGUUCCGAGUAGAGGACGGUUAUAACCCUGGCAACUUCAGAGGAUCCCUCUGGCUGCCAUGUGAGGAUGGAUGAGAGGUGAGCAAUGGGGGAGAGGAGGGGUAGUUUGAAGGGAUUGAGGUGGUUUUAUUUCAACAAUAGUAGCAAUCCAAUUUAUUGUGAUAAGUGCAAUAAACACAAAACACUAUGAAAACACACAAGAAUAGCACUUGAUUCGGAAAAGGGAGUCAAGAUUUCUAGAGGAAGUGGCUUCCUGGCUGGGAUAUUCAUGAGGGGUGGAAUUGACCAGGUGUGGAAAUGGGCACCAUAGGGGAAGCUGUCACAGGCACGAAGGGAGAGCGAGGUUCUCAUCACAGGACACAAGGGAGACUGAGUCAUUCCUCUGCUGAGAUGAGGAGGGCAGUUCACAAGGGGAACAGAGAACAAGGGCGCAAGGGCCAGAUCAGAAAGGGCUGAUGUUAUUUGCCUG